AUUGAACGCUGGCGGCAUGCCUUACACAUGCAAGUCGAACGGCAGCGGGGGAGAAGCUUGCUUUUCCUGCCGGCGAGUGGCGAACGGGAGAGUAAUACAUCGGAACGUGCCCUGUAGUGGGGGAUAACUAGUCGAAAGAUUAGCUAAUACCGCAUACGACCUGAGGGUGAAAGUGGGGGACCGCAAGGCCUCAUGCUAUAGGAGCGGCCGAUGUCUGAUUAGCUAGUUGGUGGGGGUAAAGGCCUACCAAGGCGACGAUCAGUAGCUGGGCUGAGAGGACGAUCAGCCACACUGGGACUGAGACACGGCCCAGACUCCUACGGGAGGCAGCAGUGGGGAAUUUUGGACAAUGGGCGAAAGCCUGAUCCAGCAAUGCCGCGUGUGUGAAGAAGGCCUUCGGGUUGUAAAGCACUUUUGUCCGGAAAGAAAUGGCUCUGGUUAAUACCUGGGGUCGAUGACGGUACCGGAAGAAUAAGGACCGGCUAACUACGUGCCAGCCGCCGCGGUAA
rnacentral:rRNA from 1 species